rnacentral:misc_RNA from 1 species
GAAAUGCGAUAAGUAAUGUGAAUUGCAGAAUUCAGUGAAUCAUCGAAUCUUUGAACGCACCUUGCGCUCCUUGGUAUUCCUUGGAGCAUGCCUGUUUGAGUAUCAUGAAAUCUUCAAAGUAAAUCUUUUGUUAACUCAAUUGGUUUCUACUUUGGUAUUGGAGGUCUUUGCAGCUUCACACCUGCUCCUCUUUGUUCAUUAGCUGGAUCUCAGUGUUAUGCUUGGUUCCACUCGGCGUGAUAAGUUAUCUAUCGCUGAGGACACUGUAAAAGGUGGCCAAGGUAAAUGCAGAUGAACCGCUUCUAAUAGUCCAUUGACUUGGACAAUACUUUUAUGAUCUGAUCUCAAAUCAGGUAUGACUACCCGCUGACCUUAAGC